rnacentral:lncRNA from 1 species
GUGUGCUGGUGAAACUACUGCUUGUUAGUGUAGUCAUUGCGAAACUCGGUUUGAUUUAAUGAAGGUUUCUGAUGCAAUCAUGCAGUAUGAAUAAUCGCUUACAAGUGCAUGUAUUCGAAGAAGCAGAAUGAAAUGAGAAUUUGAGCGAUGAAUGAUGGUUUUUUCGCCGGAGAAGAAGCAGCAACUGGAUAAAUCUUUGGUUUGGUAUCUUCGAAGCAAAUAUUUAUCUGAAACGAUGGGCACAAAUUUACUAUUUUUUAAGAUUUUUGUGACAUUUUCUUAAUAUUUUUUUAAAAUAUUGAUUUUUGUGAUUAUGUUGGAUUGAUUUUCAUAACGCUAAAAUUAUUCACACACUCUAUCUGCCUAUUUGCACAUCGUCUGUCUCGUAUAGGCCUAUACUGAACACUCUAUCUGCCUAUUUGCACAUCGUAUGUCUCGUAUAGGCCUAUACUGGACGUAUAUUUUUUUUUUCUCUUUUUAAAAGUUUGCUAAAACGAUUAAAAUUUUUAAAAAUAAAAUGACAAAUUACCAUUUUAGCCCUGAGACAUCCCUAGUAUAGGCCUAAUUCAAGGCUAAAAUGGUAAUUUGCCUUUAUAAAAGUGUUUUUUUUAAACUCAUUUAUAUACAUACGCCUCAGGCCUAUACCAGACAUAUAAGAGAGGCUAUAAAGACCAAUUUACCAAUGUGUAUAGCCCUAAAUCAACGCCUUUAGUUUUCGUAUUUCGUUGCUAUAGUGAGUGCUUGUAUCGUAACGAACCGAACCAAUACCUAACAAAUUCCCAUUGCGAAGCGCGGGGGAAACCCACUAUUUUUUCAAGUUAAAGAAGAAUGCAUGAAAUCUAAUCUUUGUUAUCUUUCAUGAGUUUAUUUUACAGUUUCUUUGUGGGCAACCAUUUUUAUAUGAAUUCCGGUACAUGAAAAGAACUCCAGUGGGGUGAUUUUGGCAAAAGUAUUCAUAAACUGUUGAACCAACCGAACUGUGUAAAGCGUAGCAAGUUCGUUGGUUAUUUGAUAAGUCAGUUUGCUCCUUGAGGGUAUUGCUUUUCUUUUGACUUUUCCUCUUUGUGAUUUGAAGGUGAGGAAGAUCAUAGCAGAUUUAGACCAUUAAGCUACAGAGGUGCAAACAUAUGUGUUAGCUUUUUCUCUAAUUAGUCGGGCAAGCUAUGAGAAUGUUUCAAAAAGCGUGAGAGCGUUCCUCAAGACUUCACGGUUGUAGAAAAAGGAGAGAACACAAAGCAAAUAAAGUGUCGAAAUAAAAAGAGAUGGCUAAUCGCCUUUUUAUUUUGUGGCAGUCACAAGAACAAACACGUCUGACCAAAAAAUUAUGAACAUUUUUAUUUGUUUAUAAAAUGCUUACCUCUUGACU